GUUGUAAUUGCAGCAGGUAAAGAUAAACAGCGUCUAAGGUCUAAAGUACCGGAGUCUUGUUUAAAUAUACCUGCCAAAAUAACGUCAUUUCAGGCUUGUGUGUUCAGAGCGGACACCGGUUGACGGGGCAACGCGUAACACGUAGGAAAUAUGCAAAUUUCCAAUUUAAGCAAAUUUUAAACUUCUGCCAUAAGGGAAGUUAAAUUUCCAUUGCCUGACAUUGCCGUUUAAGUGUCGAGAUACCGAAUGAGGGUUAUGACAAAUAUUUUAGAUAUAGCGAAGAUAUGUGCUCAGACGAUGCCUGCAGGGUAACCGAACGAUGUUGUAUUUGUGAGUUGUGACACUGAAUUGCUGUUAUGGAUGAGCAGGACACCUCGACUAUAUCCUCACAUGAUUGUGGCAAUAAAGACGACGAUAGAUGGAUAUGGGAAGGAUUCGUAGCUGAAGGUACUGUU
rnacentral:lncRNA from 1 species